AUUUGGUUUCCAGGAACUACUCCCAAAUUUAAUCAGUAAAAUAAAUACCCAUAGUCCAUUUAUUUGACCCAUUAAAGAAAGAAGAGGUCCUUGGAGCUCAAGAAGAACGGCUCAUCGAAAGUAAGGAAAACGAGUGCUAAUAGAGGUUGAGGUACCGAAGAGGACAACGGGAUGGAUUAGUGGUGAGGACGUAUCAGUUAAAGCAAGGUUACUCAGUUU